CAGCUUCCUGGCCCGGUGAAAUGUUCUCGGCAGCAAGCAUGAAGCUCUGAUUUGUAAAAAAGUCAAUACACCUUGCAUGCCAACUAUGCCUUCUCCAAUCCUGCACUUGUGAUGUCCGAGGCUGUCCUUCUGGGCCAUGGAGCAAACCUUUCAGGGUUGAGUUCUUCUAGGUCGUGUGGAGCGGGCCAGCUUUAAUGAACCUGUCUAAAAGGAAGGAAGAGAAAGAGCUCAGCUCCUCAGGGGAACAAGGAGGACCUUGGCGGCGGUCUCACUCCUCACCAGCUCUUCACCUCAGAUCUUGUCCUGACUUCCUGGUCCACUAACAGCCUCCUGGAUAGAAGAGUCAGUUCACCAGCCCAGAAGAUGUUCUGAAAAUUGACAGUGAUCAUGAUACAGCCUGGGUCCAGAAUACUUCUCUGUACGAUGGGUGUGUAUGAAGACAGACAGACCUGCCAGGCUCCAUCAGGGAAGCUCUGUGUCUCCUUCACAUUGGAGGGACAGAAUAUUAUCUGGAGAUGGAGAGUGCUUCUGAGAGUCUCUAGCACAGGGGUCCACAGCCUCGGAUGGGUCCCAGUCCCAGUCUGUGGCCUGUUAGGAACCGGGCCACACAGCAGGAGGUGAGCAGUGGGCAAGUGAGCAUUACCACAUGAGCUCUGCCUCCUGUCAGAUCAGCCGGUGGCAUUAGAGUCUCACACAAGCAUGAACCCUAUUGUGAACUGUGCAAGUGAGGGCUCUAGGUUGGGUUCUCCUUAUGAGAAUCUAAUGCCUGAGGAUGAGGCAAAACAGUUUCAUUCUGAAAUCACCCCCGCUGCUCUCCAUCUGUGGAAAAAUUGUCUUCCAUGAAACCGGUACCUAAUACCCCAAAAUUUGGAGACCACUGCUCUGGUAGGCCUGCCUACUGGGCUUACUUUGCAUAUAUGAAAUUAAUAAUUAUUCCUCAUUUCAGAAAUUUAAAAUGUUACAUUUAUACUUCUUUCAUAUUUCCAGCAUUGUACCAAAGGUCAGUCCUAGAAUGCUUUGUUUUAGCUGUUUUGCUUUCCUUAGGCAGAGAACAAAGAUUGGAGGCUUCCUCCUGAGCGCACUGGGAUGUGUCAUUACGUUGGGGCUGCCGAGUGUCCUUACCUACUGCUACCCAGACGCAAAGGCAGGAAGCCACAGGCCAUUUGGAUUAUUGCACUUUUCAAAGUACACGGGAAGACUUGAGACCAUCCAGAGAAUGACACAAACAAAAGGGCAGAAUGCCUGA
rnacentral:lncRNA from 1 species